ensembl:ncRNA lncRNA:CR45234 long non-coding RNA:CR45234
UCAGAUACAAAGUUGGAGUAGUUACUGCUGCCGAUUUCCCCUUUGGGGCAAUUAUUGUGGCCAACUCUGCGGGCUGGCUGCCAUUUAUAAUUGCUGGUCCGAGGCUUUCAGUUUUCAGCUACUGGCCGCUGCAACUGAAACUGCAGUGAUUGAUCAAAGACAAAUAGAUGGACAACAAUAAGUGUGGCUCGAUGGGCGAGUGUAGGCCAGACAUAGAAAAAGAUACAAGCAACGGAUACAGAUACAGCUACAGAUACAGAUACAGAUACAGAUAUACGGGUGCAAUUUUGGUGCUGGGCUGGCAUGCAGCACGCGCCACAUCUGUGCGAUCUUACAUCGAAACGAUCCGAAGGAAAUUGAUCAACUGCCGCGUAUUAAUUGGAAUUACUGUAAUUGCUCACCACCACUGGCCCCAAAAGUCCAAAAACGUGUGAUCCUCGGCUGGAUCGAUGCUGUGUAAUCAUUCUCCUUCCUUCGCUGAAAUCGAUCCGCGAAACGAAAGCGAAUCUCAUCCAUGCUCCAGUAAGUCGGAAACUUCCCAUCGCUCUACGUAAAUGGGAUCAAAGAGCCGCCCAAGGGAUGCGAUCUGGGCUGGAUGGUCAGUGGCUCUCUGGAGCAAGCGAUCCGCUUGGCUGGCUGGCUCUUCUGGGUCGCUGGGAUCACCUCCGAAGUGGGUUAGCAGAUGCUUCCCAUAGGAGACCCUUAAAGAUAACAAAAUGUUGUACUGCAUUAGUAAAUAAAAUUUAAAUUUUUUGAAGAUG